AUACGGAGGGUGCAAGCGUUAAUCGGAAUUACUGGGCGUAAAGCGUACGUAGGCGGUUCGUUAAGUUAGAUGUGAAAGCCCCGGGCUUAACCUGGGAACUGUAUUUAAAACUGGCGAACUAGAGUUGAGUAGAGGGGAGUGGAAUUUCAGGUGUAGCGGUGAAAUGCGUAGAGGUCUGAAGGAACACCAGUGGCGAAGGCGACUCCCUGGACUCGAACUGACGCUGAGGUACGAAAGCGUGGGUAGCAAACGGGAGUAGAUACCCGAGUAGUCC
rnacentral:rRNA from 1 species